rnacentral:pre_miRNA from 1 species
UCAUUUUUGUGAUUUGCAGCUUGUGUGUGUCAGCUCAGUUGCAUAGUCACAAAAGUGAUC